CGGAGUAUAGCGCAGCCCGGUAGCGCACCUGCUUCGGGAGCAGGGGGUCGCAGGUUCGAAUCCUGCUACUCCGACCA
rnacentral:tRNA from 5 species